CCCACCUCUGCUGCCAUUUUAGCCCCACCUUUGCCUCAUAAAGCGUUGCCCCAGAUGCCUUGCUAUUUCUUUCAUGGACAUGGGUGGAGAAUAAUGAAUUCCUCCACCCUGGUACCUGCACACCUGUCACCCAGCCAUGUGUGAGCUGUGCAGUAGCAUCCUGUAUGCAAUUAAAGUUCAAUUUACAAAGCAGGAAAUAAAAACUCC